rnacentral:rRNA from 1 species
UAGGGAAUCUUCGGCAAUGGACGAAAGUCUGACCGAGCAACGCCGCGUGAGUGAAGAAGGUGUUCGGAUCGUAAAACUCUGUUGUUAGAGAAGAACAAGGACGUUAGUAACUGAACGUCCCCUGACGGUAUCUAACCAGAAAGCCACGGCUAACUACGUGCCAGCAGCCGCGGUAAUACGUAGGUGGCAAGCGUUGUCCGGAUUUAUUGGGCGUAAAGCGAGCGCAGGCGGUUUCUUAAGUCUGAUGUGAAAGCCCCCGGCUCAACCGGGGAGGGUCAUUGGAAACUGGGAUACUUGAUUGCAUAAGAGGAUAGUGGAAUUCCAUGUGUAGCGGUGAAAUGCGUGGAUAUAUGGAGGAACACCAGUGGCGAAGGCGGCUCUCUGGUCUGUAACUGACGCUGAUGCUCGAAAGCGUGGGGAGCAAAAAUG